rnacentral:rRNA from 1 species
AAACGAAGUGAAUUGAAAUAUCUUAAUAACUUCAGGAAAAAAAAUCAAAAGAGAUUUCUUAAGUAAUGUGAAUGAAACAGAAUAAGUCUUGUUUUUGUAUUUGGUCUUUUUCUUUUUCUCCAUUUUUGAUUGCUCUAGCAUAUUGUUAUUUAAAAAUUUUAAUGCUUGCUUGUAAUACUAAGCAAGCUUAGGUAGUUAUCAUAAUAAAAAAAGAAAAAGACACAUGCUUGUUAAAUUAAACGAGCUGGUGUUACGUACAGAAAGGAAAAAGUAAAAUGGAGUGCAUAUCUGUUUGAAUAAAAGGGGAACCUUCCUCUAAGACUAAAUAUAAUAUAUAAGCGAUAGCGAAUAGUACCGUGAGGGAAAGGAUUGAAAUAGUAAUUUUAUAAGCAGCUCAAAAAUAGUUUAAAUAAACAAUGAGAGCGUACCUUUUGCAUAAUGGGUCAGCAAGUUAAUAUUCGAUGCGAGCAACAAUGCAAAGAUAAAACAAUUAUGAUAUAAUGAUGUAGUAUCGAAAUUAGACCCGAAGCCUAGUGAUCUUACCAUGAUCAGGGUUAUAAAAGUCCGAACGGGUUAUCGUUGUAAAGAUAUCCGAAGAAUCGUGGUAAGUUAGUGAAAGACAAUUCUGACUAGGAUAGCUGGUUUUCUGCGAAACCUAUAUAAGUAGGUAAUUUAAAUAGAAUAUCAGAAGGUACAGAAUUGUGAUCUCAUGCAACCAGUAUUUAUUUUUAUAUUAAUCCGAAAAAUAACAGCUUGUUUGUGUGCUUAUAUUAGGUUAUGCUACGUAAGUAUUUAUGCAUGUAUGCAUUUUUUAGGGUAAUUUAUAAUAUAAAUAAAUAUAUACUUUUUGUGGACAUUGGGGGGUCGUGAAGACUCUAUCAGUGAGUAUUUGUUCUCGGAAGGACUAGAUAUGUAUAUUGAAUAAUCAGACAUAGUACGAUAAGGUUGUAUGUCUAAAGGGAAAUAGCCCAGAACAAGAGUUAAUAAGGUUCCAAAAUUUUUGUUAAGUGAAAUUAAGGCAGUAUUUAUCCCAAUCGGCCAGGGAAUAGGCUUAGAAGCGGCCAUUUUUUGAAGACCUCGUAACAGAGCACUGGUUUUCUCUUUUAUGGAUAAAAGCACCGAAAAUUUAACGGAUCUAAACAAAAUACCGAUACCUUGUCCAUAUAUAUUAAUGUGUAUAUUAUAUAUUGUAUAUAUGGGGUAGCGGAACAUUGGGUAGCUAUUUUUAAUCCUUUAUAAGGAUUAAUUUGUUUAGAGUUUAACUUAUUAUUCUCUGGACUAAACAAGCCCAAGUGAUAAUGCUGACAUGAGUAACGAUAAAGGAUCAACCAGGAUAGAUAGCAUCGCCUGGACAGAUAAUAUCACCAAGACAGAAAAUGUCAGAGAAUCCUCGCCUAAAGCUUAUGGAAUUUAUUAAAGUUACGGCCUCUAAGUUUAUUUUUUUUUCAUAACUUUCAACUAUUUAUAUGUAGAUGUUAAAUAUAUACUAGAUAUAAAUAUGUACUAUUUAUGUAAAUUACCUAGUGGUAUAAACGAUGAGAAAACCUAGAGUUUACAGUAAUUAACGUUUUUUAUUUACGUAGUAACCGAAAUUCCGCUUUUCCCCUUUAAUUAUUAUUUUAAUAAUUUAUUUUUAAAGGGAAAACGGAAGCUGUUUGCUAAUAUUUUAAGUAAAUUAAGUGAAAAAUGUUCUGGAAAACUGUAGGCUCCGUAAGUAAUAUAAAAUAAGUAAACGAAAAAUAUUUUGUAAGCUUACGCUAUAAUACCGUACCUAAAUACUAACACAAGUGAGCAAGUAGAGAAUACGAAGGCGUUCGAGCUAACAAUCAUUAAGGAACUCGGCAAAUUGACUCUCGUAACUUCGGGAUAAGGUGGACCAUUUCUUCUGAUUAAUAUCAGGCAAGAAACAGGAGGCAUAGAAUGGUGUUGUACGACUGUUUAAUUAAAACAAAGCACGCUGCGAAGAAAUAAAUUCGAAGUAUUGAGUGUGAUCUCUGCCCGAUGGCGGCUGGUUAACUAAUUUGCUUAGUUAAAUCUAAUAAGCUAGGCUUUGAUGGAAACCCCGUUCAAUGGCGGCCUUACCUAUAAGGGUCCUAAGGUAGCGUAAUACCUUGGCCGUUAAAUGCGGUCUUGCAUGAAUGAUGUAACGAUACAACAGCUGUCUCUAUGAUUGGCUCGGUGAAAUUGGAAUAACUGUGCAGAUACAGUUUACCUUUAGUUGGACGAGAAGACCCUAUGCAGCUUUACUGUUGCUAGUUACUGAAUAUGAUAUAAUGAGUUGUAGUGUAUAAGGUAAUUAAUAUAAAAUUGAAACACCUUUACUUCAUUUAUCAUAUUAUAUAAACCUUACAAGCAAAUCGCCAGUAAAGUCAAUAAAUAUGAUUGCUGGUUGUGAAAAUUGAUAGGAACAAUUGCUAGGUGGCAGUUUAUGCGGGGCACAGAUCCCAUAAAGAGUACCUGGGAGUAUCCAAAAUUGCUUAUCAAGUUUAACGGCUUAAUCUUGCUUUACUGUUUGACUUACAUGUCUUUCAGUUGCGUAAGCGGGGCAUAUGAUCACAAGAUGCAGAAAGGAAAGGUCUUGGAUUAUUGAAAAAGUUACGCUAGGGAUAACAGGCUAAUCCCGCCAGAGAGUUCAAAUUGAGUGCGGGGUUUGGCACCUCGAUGUCGGCUUAGCUCAUCCACAUGAAUGUAGGAGUCAUGAAGGGUCCGACUGUUCGUCGAUUAAAGAGCUACACGAGCUGGGUUAAAUACGUUGUAAGACAGUAUGGUUUCUAUCCUCUAAAGGAAGUUGGAAUAAAUUAAGGAUAGCCCCUUGUACGAGAGGAAUUGGGUAUAUUAACCUAUGGUUUACCUGUUGUUUGUAUUGCCAUAUUAUUGUAACUGAUAGAGAUAUUGUAUCCAUUUUGUUAUAGCCCCUGAGUUUAUAACCAAGAACGCAAUAUUCUGGGUGUCAUGGCUUAUGCUGGUAAUUACUUUUCACUAAAGUAAUAUUUACUUAGGCAGUAAGAAACUGAAAUAGAUGAUAUGUCUAGUAAAAAGGCACGGCAGGAAAGCUACGUUAGUUAAUGAUAAGUGCUGAAUGCAUAUAGGCACGAAACAUACCUUAGAAUAUUCUCAUAUAUACGUAGUUUAAUACUACAAUUU